rnacentral:ncRNA from 1 species
CGAUAGAGGCGCGGGGUACAUCAGUACCGUGUCGGUUCGGCAAAUCGCCGGCACGCGAAAGGGCACACCGCCGAAACCUUCAAAGUUCUGCCAAAGCGUUGGGGGUUGGGUCGCAGGGGAACACGUUGCGGACUGUCGCGAUUAAUUUGCGGAGUGCUAUCA